UACGUAGGUAGCGAGCGUUGUCCGGAAUUACUGGGUGUAAAGGGAGCGUAGGCGGGAUCGCAAGUUGAAUGUUAAAUCUAUGGGCUCAACCCAUAGCCGCGUUCAAAACUGCGAUUCUUGAGUGAAGUAGAGGCAGGCGGAAUUCCUAGUGUAGCGGUGAAAUGCGUAAAUAUUAGGAGGAACACCAGUGGCGAAGGCGGCCUGCUGGGCUUUAACUGACGCUGAGGCUCGAAAGCGUGGGUAGCAAACAGG
rnacentral:rRNA from 1 species